rnacentral:rRNA from 1 species
CGCGGCCUAUCAGCUUGUUGGUGGGGUAAUGGCCUACCAAGGCGACGACGGGUAGCCGGCCUGAGAGGGUGAUCGGCCACACUGGGACUGAGACACGGCCCAGACUCCUACGGGAGGCAGCAGUGGGGAAUAUUGCACAAUGGGCGGAAGCCUGAUGCAGCGACGCCGCGUGGGGGAUGACGGUCUUCGGAUUGUAAACUCCUUUCAGUAGGGACGAAGCGAGAGUGACGGUACCUGCAGAAGAAGCACCGGCCAACUACGUGCCAGCAGCCGCGGUAAUACGUAGGGUGCGAGCGUUGUCCGGAAUUACUGGGCGUAAAGAGCUCGUAGGCGGUUUGUCACGUCGUCUGUGAAAUCCUCCAGCUCAACUGGGGGCGUGCAGGCGAUACGGGCUGACUUGAGUACUACAGGGGAGACUGGAAUUCCUGGUGUAGCGGUGAAAUGCGCAGAUAUCAGGAGGAACACCGGUGGCGAAGGCGGGUCUCUGGGUAGUAACUGACGCUGAGGAGCGAAAGCAUGGGGAGCAAACAGGAUUAGAUACCCUGGUAGUCCAUGCCGUAAACGGUGGGCGCUAGGUGUGGGGUCCUUCCACGGAUUCCGUGCCGUAGCUAACGCAUUAAGCGCCCCGCCUGGGGAGUACGG